rnacentral:ribozyme from 1 species
UGCCCAUCAACUCAUAUCCCUACUUCCUCACGGUACUGGCCGGGGUACGAGUAACCUUGGGGAAGAUCUGGUAACCAACAACCGGUGGGAACUUUGGUCGUAUGCUGACUGGGAAGG